AGAAACGGCUACCACAUCCAAGGAAGGCAGCAGGCGCGCAAAUUACCCACUCCCAGAUCGGGGAGGUAGUGACGAAAAAUAACAAUACGGGACUCUUUUGAGACCCCGUAAUUGGAAUGAGUACACUCUAAAUCCUUUAACGAGGAUCCAUUGGAGAGCAAGUCUGGUGCCAGCCGUCGCGGUAAUUCCAGCUCCAAUAGCGUAUAUUAAAGUUGUUGCGGUUAAAAAGCUCGUAGUUGGAUCUCAGCUCGGGCCGGACGGUCCGCCUUUCGGUGGUUACUGUUCGAUGCCCAGCGUUUCGGCGGUUAUUCUUGAUGAUCUUCACCGGUUGUCUCGGGUGACCGCCAAGUUUACUUUGAAAAAAUUAGAGUGCUCAAAGCAGACGUGACGUCUGAAUAAUUGUGCAUGGAAUAAUGGAAUAGGACCUCGGUUCUAUUUUGUUGGUUUUCGGAACACGAGGUAAUGAUUAAGAGGGACAGACGGGGGCAUUCGUAUUGCGACGCUAGAGGUGAAAUUCUUGGACCGUCGCAAGACGAACUACUGCGAAAGCAUUUGCCAAGAAUGUUUCCAUUAAUCAAGAACGAAAGUUAGAGGUUCGAAGGCGAUCAGAUACCGCCCUAGUUCUAACCAUAAACGAUGCCAGCCAGCAAUCCGCCUGUGUUCCUCAAAUGACACGGCGGGCGGCUUCCGGGAAACCAAAGCUUUUGGGUUCCGGGGGAAGUAUGGUUGCAAAGCUGAAACUUAAAGGAAUUGACGGAAGGUCACACCAGAAGUGGAGCCUGCGGCUUAAUUUGACUCAACACGGGGAAACUUACCCGGCCCGGACACAGGAAGGAUUGACAGAUUAAGAGCUCUUUCUUGAUUCUGUGGGUGGUGGUGCAUGGCCGUUCUUAUUUGGUGGGGCGACUUGUCUGGU
rnacentral:rRNA from 1 species